UAUGAGAAGGCCUUCGGGUUGUAAAGUACUUUCAGUAGGGAGGAAGGUGGUUAAGCUAAUACCUUAAUCAUUUGACGUUACCUACAGAAGAAGCACCGGCUAACUCCGUGCCAGCAGCCGCGGUAAUACGGAGGGUGCAAGCGUUAAUCGGAAUUACUGGGCGUAAAGCGCAUGCAGGUGGUUUGUUAAGUCAGAUGUGAAAGCCCUGGGCUCAACCUAGGAGUUGCAUUUGAAACUGACAAGCUAGAGUACUGUAGAGGGGGGUAGAAUUUCAGGUGUAGCGGUGAAAUGCGUAGAGAUCUGAAGGAAUACCGGUGGCGAAGGCGGCCCCCUGGACAGAUACUGACACUCAGAUGCGAAAGCGUGGGGAGCAAACAGGAUUAGAUACCCCU
rnacentral:rRNA from 1 species